rnacentral:rRNA from 1 species
GCCAGGGAACUACGAGCAAAGCUUAAAACCCAAAGGACUUGACGGUGCCCCAUACCCCCCUAGAGGAGCCUGUCCUAUAACCGAUGAUCCCCGUUUAACCUCACCACUUCUAGCUAAUCAGCUUGUAUACUUCCGUCGCCAGCCUACCACGUGAGCGAACCUUAGUUAGCUCAAUUGGCCAAAUUGCCCAGUCAACACCACCAAUACGUCAGGUCAAAGUGCAGCAAAUGAAGCGGAAAGAGAUUGGCUACACUUUUUAGUAUAAAAAAUUUACGGAAGGCAAAUAAUGAAACUUUGUCAGAAGGUGGAUUUAGCAGUAAAAAGAAUUCAUAAUACUCAUUUUAAGUUGGCACUGGAGCGUGU